rnacentral:rRNA from 1 species
CAUUACCGAGUUUACAACUCCCAAACCCCUGUGAACAUACCUUAUUGUUGCCUCGGCGGAUCAGCCCGCUCCCCGUAAAACGGGACGGCCCGCCAGAGGACCCAAACUCUAUUGUAUUUAGUGUAUCUUCUGAGUAACACAAACAAAUAAAUCAAAACUUUCAACAACGGAUCUCUUGGUUCUGGCAUCGAUGAAGAACGCAGCAAAAUGCGAUAAGUAAUGUGAAUUGCAGAAUUCAGUGAAUCAUCGAAUCUUUGAACGCACAUUGCGCCCGCCAGUAUUCUGGCGGGCAUGCCUGUUCGAGCGUCAUUUCAACCCUCAAACCCCCGGGUUUGGUGUUGGGGAUCGGAUUGCUAGUCAAUCCGUCUCCGAAAUCUAGUGGCGGUCUCGCUGCAGCCUCCAUUGCGUAGUAGCUAACACCUCGCAACUGGAACGCGGCGCGGCCAUGCCGUUAAACACCCAACUUCUGAAUGUUGACCUCGGAUCAGGUAGGAAUACCCGCUGAACUUAAGCAUAU